ACACGACACUCCUACCCAUUUUCUCCUAACCUUCAGCCGCCGAAACCCUACCCCAAUUGCUCUCUUCUCAGACCCAAUAGCAGAGGCACAAAUCCUUCCCCUUUCUCAGAUUGGUCACAACAAUAAUGGGAAAAAGGGACAAAGAGGAAAAUGGAUCCAAGGGAGAGGGGGCGAAGCUGCGCUCAGAAGAGAAGGUGAGCCAUCGCCGCCAGUUACCGUCGCAAGGCUCUGCUGCAUCCACACCGCGCCUGGGUGUUGUCGAAGCCACACCUGCAGCCGCUGCUACUAGGGUCUGCCACCGUCCUGUCCCUGGAGCCUGAGCCGCAUCUCUCACCGAACCAGAGGAGCUCAUUCUUGCUGAGUCGCCGCCAUCUUGUUUCUGCCGGCGAGCACGAAGAGAGAGGGAGACGGGAGUUUGCACCGCAGAGAGAGGGAGAGCGCGACUGGGUCGCCGUCGCUGGGCCUCCUUGCCGUCGCCAGUUCUGCUUGUUCUGUCGCCGGGAAACUCGUUACUGUGGGGGGGUCUCACCGCCAACGUCCCUGCUGUGGCUGGUGUCGCCACCGCGGAAGCCACCUGCGUCACCACUGGAGGAAGGGAUAUUCGCACUGUAGCUGCGGUUUAUGCCGCCAGAAUUGCCCUGCCACCGCCUGAAUUUCUGGUCGCUGCCGUUCUGUGACUGUCAUAAGUUACGUUAUCGCUGCCGGAGAAGCUGUUGUGGUUGUCGGAACCAUCACCGGAGCUCCUGCAGUUUGAUUUAGUCUUUAAUCCUUUCUCACGGGUCAAGCUCCGAUUGUUGCGGGUCACGAUUUAAGCUGCCGCCGAAUCGGUUCGAAGACCGCCGCUGUUCGGUUCAGCCAUCUUUUCUUUGUUUCGGAGUUAGAAUCCGGUUUGUUUAUGCUGCUUGUAGCUGUUUCUGCUUUCGAGAAAGAGCAAGCAGGGCCGGGGUUCAGAUUGUCAGUGAUUUCGGGCUGAGAAAAAGGAAUCAGUUAACGAGUUUGGG